rnacentral:rRNA from 1 species
GGAGUUAGCCGGUGCUUCUUCUGUGAGUGAUGUCCUUCCUGCCGGCUAUUAACCCGCAGGCCUUCUUCCUCACUGAAAGUGCUUUACAACCCGAAGGCCUUCUUCACACACGCGGCAUGGCUGGAUCAGGGUUGCCCCCAUUGUCCAAUAUUCCCCACUGCUGCCUCCCGUAGGAGUCUGGGCCGUGUCUCAGUCCCAGUGUGGCUGAUCAUCCUCUCAGACCAGCUACGGAUCGUCGCCUUGGUGAGCCGUUACCUCACCAACCAGCUAAUCCGACAUAGGCUCAUCCGAUAGCGCGAGGCCCGAAGGUCCCCCGCUUUCCCCCGUAGGGCGUAUGCGGUAUUAGCCUGGGUUUCCCCAGGUUAUCCCCCACUACCGGGCAGAUUCCUAUGCAUUACUCACCCGUCCGCCGCUCGCCACCAGGGAGCAAGCUCCCCGUGCUGCCGCUCGACUUGCAUGUGUUAGGCCUGCCGCCAGCGUUCAUCUGAGCCAGGAUCAAACUCUGA